GGGGAUGGAAACGUGCAGUCUAGAGUGCAGGGAGAGGAAAGCAGGAAUUCCCAGUGUAGCGUUGAAAUGCGUAGAUAUUUGGGAGGAACAUCAGUUGCGAAGGCGGCUAUCUGAACUGUAACUGACGCUGAGGCUCGAAAGACAGGGGAGCGAACGGGAUUAGAUACCCGGUAGUCCUGGCCGUAAACGAAGAAUGCUAGGUGUAGGAGGUAUCGACCCCUCCUAUGCCGGAGUUAACGCAAUAAGCAUUCCGCCUGGGGAGUACGGUCGCAAGAUUGAAACUCAAAGGAAUUGACGGGGGCCCGCACAAGCGGUGGAGUAUGUGGUUUAAUUCGACGCAACGCGAAGAACCUUACCAGGGCUUGACAUUGAGUGAAACGUGUAGAGAUACACGCCUCCCUUCGGGGACACGAAAACAGGUGGUGCAUGGCUGUCGUCAGCUCGUGUCGUGAGAUGUUGGGUUAAGUCCCGCAACGAGCGCGACCCCUGUUCCUUGUUGCCAGCACGUAAAGGUGGGAACUCAAGGGAGACUGCCGUGGAGAACGCGGAGGAAGGCGGGGAUGACGUCAAGUCAUCAUGCCCCUUAUGUCCUGGGCUACACACGUACUACAAUGGGAUGGACAGAGGGAAGCGAGGGCGCGAGCCGGAGCGGAUCCCAGAAACCGUCCCCCAGUUCGGAUUGCAGGCUGCAACCCGCCUGCAUGAAGUCGGAAUCGCUAGUAAUCGCAGGUCAGCAUACUGCGGUGAAUACGUUCCCGGGCCUUGUACACACCGCCCGUCACACCACGGAAGUCAUUCACGCCCGAAGCCGACGGGCCAACCGCAAGGAGGCAGCCGUCUAAGGCGGUGGCGUUUCUCGGGAAGUCGUAACAAGGUAGCCA
rnacentral:rRNA from 1 species